GGUCGCGUAGCUCAGCUGGAUAGAGCAUCUGCCUUCUAAGCAGACGGUCAAAGGUUCGAAUCCUUUCGCGAUCA
rfam:Lutibacter sp. LPB0138, complete genome.